AUUGAACGCUGGCGGCAGGCUUAACACAUGCAAGUCGAGCGGGCGAGGUUGCUUCGGUAACUGAGCUAGCGGCGGACGGGUGAGUAAUGCUUAGGAAUCUGCCUAUUAGUGGGGGACAACAUUCCGAAAGGAAUGCUAAUACCGCAUACGCCCUACGGGGGAAAGCAGGGGAUCUUCGGACCUUGCGCUAAUAGAUGAGCCUAAGUCAGAUUAGCUAGUUGGUGGGGUAAAGGCCUACCAAGGCGACGAUCUGUAGCGGGUCUGAGAGGAUGACCCGCCACACUGGGACUGAGACACGGCCCAGACUCCUACGGGAGGCAGCAGUGGGGAAUAUUGGACAAUGGGCGCAAGCCUGAUCCAGCCAUGCCGCGUGUGUGAAGAAGGCCUUUUGGUUGUAAAGCACUUUAAGCGAGGAGGAGGCUACCGAGAUUAAUACUCUUGGAUAGUGGACGUUACUCGCAGAAUAAGCACCGGCUAACUCUGUGCCAGCAGCCGCGGUAACAC
rnacentral:rRNA from 1 species